rnacentral:rRNA from 1 species
GGGUUCCUACGGGGCACAGCAGUCGGGAAUAUUGCACAAUGGAGGAAACUCUGAUGCAGUGACACCGCGUAUAGGAAGAAGGUUUUCGGAUUGUAAACUAUUUUAGACAGGGAAGAAAAAAGACAGUACCUGUAGAAUAAGCUCCGGCUAACUACGUGCCAGCAGCCGCGGUAAUACGUAGGGAGCAAGCGUUGUCCGGAAUUAUUGGGUGUAAAGGGUGCGUAGACGGGACAGCAAGUUAGUUGUGAAAGCCCUCGGCUUAACUGAGGAACUGCAACUAAAACUAUUGUUCUUGAGUGCAGGGG